UUUUGUUUUGUCUGGUUUUUUAAACAUCCUAGUUAUUCAACACUGAGCCCCUGCUCUGUGGGUAAACCUUGAUUCACUAGAAAAGAGUUGAAGUCCAGAAAUCUGCAUUUUUAACAAGCACCCGGUGACUUCAUUGCAGGUGAGGACAUAGAAUUGUAAACAUGGCCACAGAUUGGAUAUGAGAGUCAAAUGGGAAGAGGAGGUCAUGUUCACUCCGAGACGGAAAUGGCAACCCACUCCAGUAUUCUUGCCUGGAGAAUCCCGGAGACAGAGGAGCCUGGUGGGCUGCUGUCUUUGGGGUCGCACUGGGUCGGACACAACUGAAGAGACUUAGCAGCAGCAGCUACCUUCUUGUUUUGAAGCAGCUCCUGGUCAUUUAUAGGCUUUUCAUUCAUUUUGAAGUAAUCCCUCCCUGAGGAAUGAAGGAAGUGUUUCUAUCUCUUCAGACAGUGGGUUGUCUGGGGCUUAUGGAUAGACAGACAGGCAUUCUUUAUGAUAUGUUUUCCAGUCCAGAUCUGUCUCCAAAUUCUUUUUUUUCUCUGUGUCAUGCUGCCUUAGUAUUAACAAAUAGUUCUGUCCCAAUAACAAGGAUGGUCUCUCUACUAUAAUCUGCAGAGAUAACAGAAUAACGUAAUAGCUGUGCUCAAUUGCAAACAUUUUGGGUACUGUCAUAGUUUCCAUGAAGUUUUAUUCUGUCCAAAUUCUAAAAAGUAUAUCAGAUGACCAGAGAACUUUUAAAGACUGAGGGAGACUUCUACUCAGUUUUCUAACUGUGUAAAAUAAUCUCAUUUUCCCAGAAUUGUUCAAGAAUGUGGAAAGAUAUAGAUUGUUUCUUAAGACAUAUGUGUUCUACAUACCAUGAGGUGCACGCCAUCAUCAAAUAAACAAAAGAAGUAAAUGAUUUCUUCUUCUUUUAUAAAUAUUUAAUCUGGCAUCCCUAAAUAACAGAUUAGACUGGUGAAAGUUGAUGUGAUUUUUAUAACUGUCAGUGGAAGUUGUUGAAGAAGUUGAUGUUUGAGGUUCAUAUGUUGCUGGAGUAUAUGUAACAAAUGGAGUUAAUCUUUGCUGUCAGACAUUUUUUGUGUUCUGUUGUGCUUAAAUAGUGCAUGCACACUGUUUAGUUUGGGUCUUCUUCAUAUUCCUGGUCUAUUUUGUGAAGAAUGUUGUUUUCACUCAGCCAGAAUGCUUUGUCACUGAAAAAGAUGGUAGACCACUGGAAUUUCCCUCUCACAAGGCAGAAUAGAAGUUGUACUCUUUGGUAGCUCCUUCCAAAGAGCUGAGUUAUUGAGGGACUGAAAACACCCUGUGGAAUCUAAAGACCCUAUAUUUUACUUUGAAUUAAUGCUACUCAUGAAAUCUCUUUCUCUCUUUCAAUCUAU